rnacentral:rRNA from 1 species
GGGAAGAGCUCAAAUUUAUAAUCUGGCACCUUCGGUGUCCGAGUUGUAAUCUCUAGAAAUGUUUUCCGCGUUGGACCGCACACAAGUCUGUUGGAAUACAGCGGCAUAGUGGUGAGACCCCCGUAUAUGGUGCGGACGCCCAGCGCUUUGUGAUACAUUUUCGAAGAGUCGAGUUGUUUGGGAAUGCAGCUCAAAUUGGGUGGUAAAUUCCAUCUAAAGCUAAAUAUUGGCGAGAGACCGAUAGCGAACAAGUACCGUGAGGGAAAGAUGAAAAGCACUUUGGAAAGAGAGUUAACAGUACGUGAAAUUGUUGGAAGGGAAACGCUUGAAGUCAGACUUGCUUGCCGAGCAAUCGGUUUGCAGGCCAGCAUCAGUUUUCCGGGAUGGAUAAUGGUAGAGAGAAGGUAGCAGUUUCGGCUGUGUUAUAGCUCUCUGCUGGAUACAUCUUGGGGGACUGAGGAACGCAGUGUGCCUUUGGCGGGGGUUUCGACCUCUUCACACUUAGGAUGCUGGUGGAAUGGCUUUAAACGACCCGUCU